GUGUCAGUAUGUGAGUAUGCAUGUACGUCAGUGUGUGUGUCUGUAUGUCAGUAUUUGUGUGUAAAUCUGUAUCUCCUUAUGCAUGUGUAUGUGUCUAUAUUUGUGUAUAAAAUAAGUUCUCAUGCAAAAGAAUUUGCAGAGAAAUAGAGGGAAAAAGACCUAGCGAAAAAAGCUCUGAAACUGGGUAAAAAAUAGGGAUCCAC